GUCAGCCUGUGUCGUGAGAUGAUCUGUUGAAUCAGGUAACAGGCGAGACCCGUAUGCAUAUUUGCACUGAACAAUAUGCAGACUGCCUUGGUAACAAGGAGGAAGGUGCGGACCACGUUAGGUGAGUACAUCCCAAAUACCCUGGGCUACACGCGCGCGGCAAUGCUGAAUUCAAAGGGCUGCAACACCGAAAGGUGAAGCUAAUCUCAUAAACUUCAGCCUAGUUCAGAUUGAGGGUUGCAACUCACCCUCAUGACGCUGGAAUUGGUAGUAAUUGGUUUUUAUCAGAGACCAGUGAAUAAGUCAAUGUCCCGUGCUCUCACCGCCCGUCAAACCAACCGAGUUUAGCUUUGGCGAGGCCCGUCAGGGACGAACCUUUGUUAGACAAGGUAGGUUAAGUCGUCACAAGGUAACUGUAGGGGAACCUGCAGUUGGAUCACCUCCU
rnacentral:rRNA from 1 species